rnacentral:misc_RNA from 1 species
GAUGAAGAACGCAGUGAAAUGCGAUACGUAAUGUGAAUUGCAGAAUUCAGUGAAUCAUCGAAUCUUUGAACGCACAUUGCGCCCGCCAGUAUUCUGGCGGGCAUGCCUGUCUGAGCGUCAUUUCAACCCUCAUGCCCCUAGGGCGUGGUGUUGGGGAUCGGCCAAAGCCCGCGAGGGACGGCCGGCCCCUAAAUCUAGUGGCGGACCCGUCGUGGCCUCCUCUGCGAAGUAGUGAUAUUCCGCAUCGGAGAGCGAUGAGCCCCUGCCGUUAAACCCCCAACUUUCCAAGGUUGACCUCAGAUCAGGUAGGAAUACCCGCUGAACUUAAGCAUAUCAAUAAGCGGAGGA